CGGUAGAGGUGACCUGACUCCCUCAGUCUCCCUGAGGCUCAUUUUGCAGGUGCUGCAAGUGUCCACACAGUUUGCAAUCAAGUCUGAACCAAUCAGAAUCCUUUAUGACUGGAGCAGCUGGUCAAAUUGCAUAUUCACUGCUGUACAAUAUUGGAAAUGGAUCUGUCUUUGGUAAAGACCGGCCUAUAAUUCUUGUGCUGUUGGAUAGUACCCCCAUGAUGGGGGUCCUGGAUGGUGUCUGAAUGGAACUGCAUGACUGUGCCCUUCCCCUCCUGAAAGAUGUUACCACAACAGACAAAGAAGAGGUUGCCUUCAAAGACCUGGAUGUGGCCAUUCUCAUGGGCUCCAUGCCAAGAAGGGAAGGCACAGGGAGGAAAGAUUUACCGAAAGCAAAUGUGAACAUCUUCAAAUCCCAGGGUGCAGCCUUGGAGAAAUAUUCCAAGAAGUCAGUGAAGGUGAUUGUUGUGGGUAACCCAGCCAAUACCAACUGCCUGACUGCCUCCAAGUCAGCUCUAUCCACCCCCAAGGAGAACUUCAGUUGCUUGGUGUGUUGGGAUCACAACCGAGCUAAAGCUCAAAUUGCUCCUAAACUUGGUGUGACUGCUGAUGAAAUAAAGAAUAAUGUCAUUAUCUGGGAAACCAUCUCCUUGCCUCAGUAUCCAGAGUCAAACACAUGCCCAAGUGAAAGUUCGCAAGGAAAGGAAUUGGUGUUUAUGAAGCCUGAAAGCAUGAAAGCGUGGCUCAAGGGAGAAUCUCAUCACGACUUGGCAGCACGUCAUGCGCCUGUCACCAAGGCUUGAAAAGUAUCCAGUGCGAUGUCUGCUGCAAAAGCCAUCUCUGACCAUGCCAGAGACAUCUGGUUUGGAACCCCAGAGGAUGGUGUCUGUCGGGAGAGGUGGUUAAUCGCCCAUGCAACCCUGUGUGUUUCUGAUGAUCUGCUCUACUCGUUCCCUGUUCUCGCAGUGUUGCAGCUGGUGAACAAAGAAGAGCAUUCUCAAAAGCAUUAA